UCAUGACUAGUAUAAGUCCCAUCCCUUACACAACUCUAGAAUCUAGAGCGUGGGUUUGUUUUGUAGGAUAGCUCCUUCCUUGGUCCACAAUGAGCCAAUGCCAUCGCUUCAAGGAAAGAUGAAACCCCGGAAAGACUGAGUACAAGUCUCACCUUCAUCUUUCAUCUGAUAGUAAUGACACCUUGUCCACUAAGCCAAGAAUAUCUCUGUGGCAAAAGAUAAAGCAGCCGACUCGUGUUUGCUCUUGUGGAGUUCAGAUCCCAGCGGGAAGACGGUCUCUCUUUUUUUGUGACUAAAAACAGUGUUCGUAGAAGCAGCACCUCAAAUUUGCUGAAGGCCAGGACUCUGGAGAGGAUGAAUGGGACCUCACAGGAAUGAGGACCAGAAGCGGGUUUCUGCCUCUGGAAGGCAAUGCUCACAGCUGGUGGAUACAACCUGUGUGACCUGAAGUUCUGAGAAGUCCCCGCUGUCCACCCUCAUAGCACCUGCCCAUUUCCUGCUGAAAGGACACAAACAAGAGCUCUCUGGUUAGACUCGAAGAAUCCAGGGUGGGUUAUGUAGAGCAGGAAACUUCUUAUCUUGGAGUCUGUAACUUAACUAAAUGAUAGUUGGUAUUUGAUUAAUAAAAUGUAAAAUUCGUAAUGA